ACAAUCUGCUGGCAAACAGGGCAUUUUAGAAUUUUCCACUCAUCUCCCAUUUACUACUUAGGAGUUGAUAGUUAUUUUAAGGGGAUGAUGGCUUGAAUACCAAGAUAUCAUCUAACAGACUUUCUUUUAAUUCAUUUUUGUUUAUUGUUGUUGUUGUUUAGUUUUGCUGAGUGAUUCUUCAACCUGAAGUUUUAUACAAACAACUGCACAAUUUUCACAGUCCUCACUCUAAAUCCUGAUUCUCAAGUAACAUAUAACAUCCCGUCCUGGGGAAAUUACCCCUGUCUAGGUGUGGCUCUCCACCAGAGGACUCAGAAAUGGGAAAAUGAUCAUCUCUCAGGACAGAGUCACAUUACCCAAGCUCCUAAAACCAAUGUAAGAAGACUGCAAGGUCAAUUUUUUUUUUUUAACAAACUAACUGCUUUACAAUAAAGUGAGCGGGUAGAGGAGUCCACCCUUGGUCCAGCACUCUUCAACCCCCACCAUUUGACUCAUAGCAGCUGCCCAAGCUCAGUUUCCCUGGAACCAGACUCUACUCCCCAUCCAUUGGUCUCCCUAUAAAGGUAUCAUGGAAACUCUGCCGUCUUCAAGAAAUGGUUUCCAAAGUCACUCUGACCAUCAACAUCCAAUGUUGGACAAGAAAAGAAAAAAAGUGUGAAGAGGCCGCCUUGAUUUGCCACAACAUCCACCUGCAGGGACGGAGAGCACUCUGCUCUGACACUGCCAUUGAAGACAAGUGGCCCAGCCCCUCUGGGCCACUAGACAGAAGUGGGAAGAACUUCUGUGAAGUGCCGGUCUGGCUGGGAACCACCUCAUUCUGCAUGAACAUUUUUCUUGUUGAAUAAAAUCUUCAGCUGACUCUCCAUCAAGUCAUUGCUCCUUCAGUAUCCACAGACACGCGGCUGCAGCAUCCUUCCCUUAGGUACUGGAGUUCCUGCUUCUAAGGCCUAGUGAAUCAGGAAGAAAAAAAAAUCGUGUAUGGGCUUAAUUAGGCAUAAUUGGAAGCAUUCUCUUCUUUUUAUGAAGGACCUUAAAAAU
rnacentral:lncRNA from 10 species